GACGAACGCUGGCGGCGUGCUUAACACAUGCAAGUCGAACGGAAAGGCCCCUUUGGGGGUACUCGAGUGGCGAACGGGUGAGUAACACGUGAGUAACCUGCCCUUGACUUCGGGAUAACUUCAGGAAACUGGGGCUAAUACCGGAUAGGAAUCCUUGCUGCAUGGUGGGGGUUGGAAAGCUUCGGCGGUUUUGGAUGGACUCGCGGCUUAUCAGCUUGUUGGUGGGGUAGUGGCUUACCAAGGCUUUGACGGGUAGCCGGCCUGAGAGGGCGACCGGCCACAGUGGGACUGAGAUACGGCCCAGACGCCUACGGGAGGCAGCAGUGGGGAAUAUUGCACAAUGGGCGGAAGCCUGAUGCAGAAACGCCGCGUGCGGGAUGACGGCCUUCGGGUUGGAAACCGCUUUCAGCAGGGGCGAAGCUUGUGGUGACGGUACCUGCAGAAGAAGCACCGGCUAACUACGUG
rnacentral:rRNA from 1 species